rnacentral:rRNA from 1 species
AAGUCGUAACAAGGUCUCCGUAGGUGAACCUGCGGAGGGAUCAUUACCGAGUGAGGGCCCCCGGCCCGACCUCCAACCCUUUGUUGACCAACACUUGUUGCCUCGGGGGCGACCCGGUCUCCGCGCCGGGGUCCCCGGUGGACCGCUUCAACUCUGUUAUCUGUACGUCGGAGUACUUGAUGAAUCAAUCAAAACUUUCAACAACGGACCUCUUGGUUCUGGCAUCGAUGAAGAACGCAGCGAAAUGCGAUAAGUAAUGUGAAUUGCAGAAUUCAGUGAAUCAUCGAAUCUUUGAACGCACAUUGCGCCCUUUGGCAUUCCGAGGGGCAUGCCUGUUCGAGCGUCAUUACACCACUCAAGCCCGACUUGGUAUUGGGCGGUAGGGCUGUCCUACGCCUCAAUUUCACCGGCUAGACGACCCGUAUCUCAGCGUUGUGGUAUUCAAUUCGCUGGCGAGAAGGGCGGUCUGCGCCGUUAAACUUCUAUCAAGGUUGACCUCGGAUCAGGUAGGGAUACCCGCUGAACUUAAGCAUAUCAAUAAGCGGAGGAAAAGAAACCAACAGGGAUUGCCCUAGUAACGGCGAGUGAAGCGGCAACAGCUCAAAUUUGAAAUCUGGCGCAAGCCCGAGUUGUAAUUUGUAGAGGAUGCUUCGGGGCAGCGGCCGGUCUAAGUUCCUUGGAACAGGACGUCAAAGAGGGUGAGAGUCCCGUACGUUGACCGGCUGGCACCCCAUACGUAGCUCCUUCGAAGAGUCGAGUUGUUUGGGAAUGCAGCUCUAAAUGGGAGGUAAAUUUCUUCUAAAGCUAAAUACCGGCCAGAGACCGAUAGCGCACAAGUAGAGUGAUCGAAAGAUGAAAAGCACUUUGGAAAGAGAGUUAAAAAGCACGUGAAAUUGUUGAAAGGGAAGCGCUUGCAACCAGACUUGUUAACGGUGUUCCGCCGGUCUUUUGACCGGUCCACUCGCCGUCUGCAGGCCAGCAUCGUCUGGGGCCGCUGGAUAAAGGUGUCGGGAAUGUAUCUCCUCUCGGGGAGUGUUAUAGCCCUUCGCGCAAUACGGUGUGCCCCGGGCGAGGUCCGCGCUUCGGCUUGGAUGCUGGCGUAAUGGUAGUAAGCGGCC